UGGCGCAGAUAUUGUUGCACGGGACUUUACAUGUAACGAUCUAUGAGGUGGAUAAGCUUCACAGCGAGGGUGGACCCCACUUCAUCCGCAAGCUCAUGGAAAACAUUGAGGAGAAAGUUGGUUUUGGCAAAGGAGUCAGUAAACUCUAUGCAACUAUUGACCUAGAAAAGGCUAGAGUUGGAAGGACUAGAAUUCUUGAAAAUCAACAGAACAACCCCAGGUGGUAUGAGUCUUUUCACAUUUACUGUGCACAUCAGGCCUCAAAUGUCAUAUUCACAAUCAAGGAUGAUAAUCCCAUUGGGGCAACCUUAAUUGGAAGGGCAUAUGUACCAGUUGAAGAGCUCAUAGAUGGGGAAGAGAUAGAUAGAUUGGUUGAGAUAUUGGAUGAAGACAAAAAUCCUGUAC
rnacentral:misc_RNA from 1 species